UACGAAGGGGACUAGCGUUGUUCGGAAUCACUGGGCGUAAAGCGCACGUAGGCGGAUUUGUAAGUCAGGGGUGAAAUCCCGGGGCUCAACCUCGGAACUGCCUUUGAUACUGCAAGUCUUGAGUCCGAUAGAGGUGGGGUGGAAUUCCUAGUGUAGAGGUGAAAUUCGUAGAUAUUAGGAAGAACACCAGUGGCGAAGGCGGCUCACUGGCUCAUUACUGACGCUCAGGCGCGAUAGCGUGGGGAUCAAACAGG
rnacentral:rRNA from 1 species